rnacentral:sRNA from 1 species
UCCAGGCUCACCGGAAGAUUUUUUCUACACUAGUCAAGGAGCAGCCCCACAGAUCAGGGAUGUGGAUGAUGCAGAGGAGCUAGUCAAAACAAGAAAAGCUUUCACAACAUUAGGUUUCCCAGAGAAAGAUCAAAUGAUGAUUUUUCGAAUUCUAAGUGCUGUGCUCCAUUUUGGAAAUGUUAUCAUUAAAGAGAAGGAAGGAGAGUCUUGUGAGAUACCAGCAAAAGAUCCAUCCAUCACAAUUAUGUGUAAACUGCUGGGAAUUGAGGAAUCACAGAUGAGGAUGUGGCUGUGUCACAGGAAGAUUCAAACAGUUAAUGAGACGCUGACCAAACCAUUGACAGAAUCACAG